GAGCUUCCCCAUUAGAUUUAGGAGAACAAUGGCGCACCCUUCCCUGCUUCUUGUUCAUUUUCCUUUCUCAAAAAAAAAAAACCAUAACCAAAAGAUGAAGGAAAAAGCCCCAAACUGAGCUCCAUAGUACUCAUGAAAACACUCCCAAGCUCCAUUAAAACUGAUCCCAGAACCAGCUGAGAACCGGGCCUAAAAACAGUCCCUAAACCAUAAAAAUCGUCACCUAAAACAAUCCAAAAACGCAGCCAUUAAAGCUGCUCCAAACACACUUGAAACAACCUCAAACCACCAGCAAAAACAGUUCCAAAACCAGCUGAAACGUCACCCAAAAACCAGCUGAAACGCAACACCAAACCACCCCAAAAAUAGUAGUCAUCGCACCAUGUUUGCCGACGAACAGAGGUUCAUUUUAACUGUGUAAGAACACCCAAGUUCAGUCGAUUUUUUUUUGAGUUGGGUUCAAGGUUUCCGGCUCCGGCAUGGGUCUCGAUCGGAUCGCUGUUUGUUUGCUGCUGUUUCGCUUCAUUCGUAACCGAAUUUGCGGCUGUUCUUAGCUUUUAUUUGGUCUUGCUAAGUUUGAUUCUUGCUGUUGAGAUCCAGGUACGUCGACUCAGUCCUACCACCCGUGAGGCGAGGUGAUUGCUUUAGAGACUUCGAGGUACAUCUGUCGUGUCCGCAGACCGAGGAGUCCCUUUCUAUUCUAGCUUUUAAGCAUUUGCCCUUCUGUAUUUCUUUUCCUUGUUAGAUAUUCUGGAGUUUGAUAUUGUUAGAUAUCCAAAGGCUUGUGGUUCCGUGAGUUUCCGGGUUUUGGGAUAGUGUAUUAGAUUCUGAGGAGUUGUGUUGUAUAUGUAGAACGACAUUUAAAUGUUGUUUUCAUUCGGUUAUUUUGGCUUCUGAUUA